rnacentral:rRNA from 1 species
CCUACGGGUGGCAGCAGUGAGGAAUAUUGGUCAAUGGACGAGAGUCUGAACCAGCCAAGUAGCGUGAAGGAUGACUGCCCUAUGGGUUGUAAACUUCUUUUAUAUGGGAAUAAACUGUUCCACGUGUGGGAUUUUGUAUGUACCAUAUGAAUAAGGAUCGGCUAAUUCCGUGCCAGCAGCCGCGGUAAUACGGAGGAUCCGAGCGUUAUCCGGAUUUAUUGGGUUUAAAGGGAGCGUAGGUGGAUUGUUAAGUCAGUUGUGAAAGUUUGCGGCUCAACCGUAAAAUUGCAGUUGAAACUGGCAGUCUUGAGUACAGUAGAGGUGGGCGGAAUUCGUGGUGUAGCGGUGAAAUGCUUAGAUAUCACGAAGAACUCCGAUUGCGAAGGCAGUUCACUGGACUGCAACUGACACUGAGGCUCGAAAGUGUGGGUAUCAAACAGGAUUAGAUACCCUUGUAGUC